AACACUGACUCGAACCGCCGCCUCGGCAGCAACCCCCUCAUCAGAAGAAUUCAUCUCAGCUUUGUGCUUUUCAAGAAGUUGAUUUGCGACAGAAGAAGAAAAGUCUUCAAGUUUAUAAGCUUCAGGAACGGUGAUAGAAAGUUCAUUAGAAGGCUGUUGUACCGCAAAUCCUCCAGAAAUGAAAUAUUUUGAUUUGUUGCUGGAUUCAUCAGUAACAGAAAUAACUCCUGGCUUAAGACACUGAAUCAUGGGAACAUGAUCUUUAAGGAUACCCAUCUCGCCAUCUUCCGCAGGGAUGUCGACCUGAGUUACAGGAACCUUCUCAUAGAUGGUUUGGUAUGGCAAUGCCAUGGAAAGUACUAAUUUUUCAUUUUUCUGAACAGCUUGGGCAUAACCACGAAUUCCAAAAGGAGCACGUACUAAACCUUGAGGAAAUUGUGAUUUUCUCAGCAUGUAAUUUGAUAAACGAAACAUAAUGUUGUUGUUCGGAGUAUUGAGUGGGUUAAGGGGGGUGUGAUGCUGCUUCGCUGACUGUGGGAAUAACUAUGCGGAAAAGUGAAUGCUGUCAAAUAGUUCUAC